rnacentral:rRNA from 1 species
CACGUAGGGGGCGAGCGUUGUCCGGAAUCAUUGGGCGUAAAGAGCUCGUAGGCGGCUCGGUAAGUCGGGUGUGAAACCCCCAGGCUCAACCUGGGGACGCCACCCGAUACUGCUGUGGCUAGAGUCCAGUAGGGGAGUGUGGAAUUCCCGGUGUAGCGGUGAAAUGCGCAGAUAUCGGGAGGAACACCAGCGGCGAAGGCGGCAUCCUGGACUGGUCCUGACACUCAGGAGCGAAAGCGUGGGGAGCGAGUCCGG